rnacentral:rRNA from 1 species
CCUACGGGAGGCAGCAGUGGGGAAUUUUGGACAAUGGGCGCAAGCCUGAUCCAGCCAUGCCGCGUGCGAGAAGAAGGCCUUCGGGUUGUAAACCGCUUUUGUCAGGGAAGAAAUCCUUUGAGCUAAUACCUCGGGGGGAUGACGGUACCUGAAGAAUAAGCACCGGCUAACUACGUGCCAGCAGCCGCGGUAAUACGUAGGGUGCGAGCGUUAAUCGGAAUUACUGGGCGUAAAGCGUGCGCAGGCGGUCUUGCAAGACAGGUGUGAAAUCCCCGGGCUUAACCUGGGAACUGCACUUGUGACUGCAAGGCUGGAGUACGGCAGAGGGGGAUGGAAUUCCGCGUGCAGCAGUGAAAUGCGUAGAUAUGCGGAGGAACACCGAUGGCGAAGGCAGUCCCCUGGGCCUGUACUGACGCUCAUGCACGAAAGCGUGGGGAGCAAACAGGAUUAGAUACCCUGGUAGUCCACGCCCUAAACGAUGUCAACUGGUUGUUGGACGGGCUUGUCUGUUCUAGUAACGAAGACUACGCGUGUAGUUGACCGCCGUGGGAGGUACGGCCGCGAGGUUAGAACGUACAAAUAGAGUUAGACGGCGUGAGACGUGCCGAACGGACGACACGAGGGGAGGUUAGGG